GAUGAAGAACGUAGCGAAAUGCGAUAAGCAAUGUGAAUUGCAGAAUUCAGUGAAUCAUCGAAUCUUUGAACGCACCUUGCGCUCUUUGGUAUUCCGAAGAGCAUGCCUGUUUGAGUGUCAUGAAAAUAUCAACCUUGACCUGGGUUUUGUGCUCUAGUCUCGGCUUGGAAUUGGGUGCUUGCCGCUUUUACGAGCGGCUCACCUUAAAUGUAUUAGCUGGAUCUGUCUUUGAGACUUGGUUUGACUUGGCGUAAUAAGUAUUUCGCUAAGGACAUUCUUCGGAGUGGCCUCGUUUCUAGGACGCUUGUCCGCUUUCCAAUACAAGUUCCACCUCGUGGACAUGACUUUUUAUUAUCUGGCCUCAAAUCAGGUAGGACUACCCGCUGAACUUAAGCAUAUCAAUAAGCGGAGGA
rnacentral:misc_RNA from 1 species